GUGGGGAAUAUUGGACAAUGGGGGAAACCCUGAUCCAGCCAUGCCGCGUGAAUGAUGAAGGCCUUCGGGUUGUAAAGUUCUUUUGGAGGGGACGAUGAUGACGGUACCCUCAGAAUAAGCUCCGGCUAACUUCGUGCCAGCAGCCGCGGUAAUACGAAGGGAGCUAGCGUUGUUCGGAAUUACUGGGCGUAAAGGGCGCGUAGGCGGUUUGGUCAGUCAGAUGUGAAAGCCCAGGGCUUAACCCUGGAACUGCGUUUGAUACUGCCAAGCUUGAAUUCGGGAGAGGUGAGUGGAAUUCCCAGUGUAGAGGUGAAAUUCGUAGAUAUUGGGAAGAACACCAGUGGCGAAGGCGGCUCACUGGACCGACAUUGACGCUGAGGCGCGAAAGCGUGGGGAGCAAACAGGAUUAGAAACCCCUGUAGUCC
rnacentral:rRNA from 1 species